rnacentral:lncRNA from 1 species
AGCCAUGUCAACAUCACGAGCCCAGACAGCUGUCUCCUGAAAUGUAUGUGGACUGGAAAUCUUAGUAGUUGUUAUAGCUAGGAUAAUGAUUCAUCCUCCCUCUGGGGCUGGGGCUUGCCUCUGCAUGUUUUGCAAUGCUGUCUGGCUUCAUAACAGCAUAGCUGCAUGCUGUGAUUCCCAGCAGAUUUCUCAGCAAACUGAUGAUUCCAUUGGACGGACAUUUACCAGGAACCUGGAUGAAGCAGGUUUCAAAGUAUCUGCCACGUGCUGGCCACCUAAGGAGAAACGGGCCACAGUUGUGAAGGAAGAGUGUUCUCCAAAAAUGAAUGUGUCGCAGAUUCACAUGACUGAAGAUGAAUAUCAGAAGACAGUGAAAAACUUCAUAGAAAGCCACUUAUCUCUGAAAGCUUCCCCCAACCCGCUGCUCUGAAGACUCUCCACAUAGCAUCUCCUUCCUUCUGCCUGGUUGAUCACCCUUCAUUAACCCUGCUAACCUGAAACCAUGUGAUGUCCAUCACAGUCUGGCAAUGUCCAUUUAUGCAGUUUUUUCAUAAUCCCAUUCUCUGAUCAGUAAGGGACCUUUAAGGAAAGAAUGAGGAUUUUAGGUUUGUGAUUGUGGAGAGGAUCCAUCUUAAAAUAGAUGGGCAUUGCUCCUGUUGUGCUUGAACGUACCUUGGGGUGAGAGCUUUAAGUAGCACUUCUUUUAAACACACAUGUAUGCAAAAUAUUUAGAGUUCUGAUAGUUACAUACUAACAAACCUUUUGGAAGGACUAUUAAACCUCAAGCUUCAGCAUUUAAGCAAAUCCAUCAGAGAUCUGAAGAAAACUUGGUUACAACGCACAGAUUAUCUCACAUAGAUUAUCCCACAGCUGCUCUUUGUCAGUUUUCUACAUUUACCUAAGAAGCCUCUGGUGUCAGUGACAGGAUACCAGACUGAACAGACCCUGGGCCUGACUGGCAAAGGCUAGUGCAAUUAUCCUAAAAUAAAUAAUUGGAAUUACUGAACA